rnacentral:lncRNA from 1 species
CGGAAAAGAAUGGCGCAUCUUCAAACAGAAUCACAUGGCAACACAAAAGAAUUAUUGAAAACAUAAGAAGAUUCAUGAGAUAAAUGCAUGGAAAAGGUAUAAAUACAGAUUCUGGGUAACAAUUGACUAGUUAAGAAACAAUCCCAUUAGCCACUCAGUGUGAAAUAUGGACAAAGAUUGAGACAUUACUCACAGAAAGUGAUUCGGGAUAUCCACACCUUGUGAAGGCAACAAAGGGGUCAAUGAGAUAAUCAACAACCUUCCAAGCAAAAAUGAUAAGAUAAUAUCAAGAACACACAUAAUAUAAGGAUAUUCAAAAGAUUUAUUGUUUACUCUAAUAUUGCAAUGCAGUAUAUACCUCUUGCCCAAAAUGACGCUGAAAGAACCCACCCACGCUGCAAACGAUAGGUUGAAAAGAAGAUUCUAAGGAAAUCACUCCUUAAAAAGUUAACAAAGAAAGAGGAGACGGUUGUUGUCCUAAGACAGAGAAGACUACUACCUUUCUUGGGUGUCAUCAUCGGAAACUCCUUUUUUCUUCCAUAAAUAUGGCUCCAGAAUAAUCAGAAGCUGCAAUACAGAAAUGCAUAUCAAAGUUGAUGCCAAUGUAAAUGGUUUAUGCACGUGCACAAACACGAUAUUUUGCAUUGAUACUUGUCAUUACUAAACAGCAUUGCAACAUGAUUAAAUAACUAGGAAACUAACUCGUCCGACAUGCCAUGUGUUGUAGAAAACAAACCUUUGAUUGUGCUGAAAGAAAAUUGCUCUUGAUCAGCGCGAUUGGAUCGGUAGGUAACUGAUGUGAAAAUGGAGCAAAAGUGAUAGUCACAAUCAGGAACAUUCAACUACGUAAGGAAGUAAAAACCAAAAAGAAAAAACUGAAAACGAACGAAAAUGUAUUUCAUAUGCUUUCCUAUAUAACUAUAACAAGAUGCAACUGGCAAGACAUACCAGCACAGGCGUCCCGUUCCUUACAAUAUAACGCUUGGUCUGUGAAAUCGGCUGCAACAUCGGAAAACAAUGAAUUCAAUUAUUACACUAAAAGAAGCAUCAGCCACUUCCAUCCAUAAAUUCCGAGCUAAGUUUGAAGUUAAAAGCACAUUGCUUUAUAACGGAAAGCACAGCCGACGCUAGCACAGCACAAAAAACUAUAAUACACAUGAAACUAUUACAAACGAAAUCCUUACAAAUUGUUGCUUUUCUCUUAGUCCAAGAUUAUCAAGCAAAGUUUGGACCUCCGUUUCGCUCUCGGUCUGCGAAAAAACCUUAUGUCAGCAUAAAAUCAUAACGAAAAUUCAGAACUGCCCGGCAUUGAUUCAAACUAUUUGGUUACAAAACUCACCAUUAAGUUUGCUCCUUCAUCCCAAAUAAGAUCAUCACGCGAAACGCUUCUGAGGUUCCCUCCAGCUCUUCCCUCAGCUUCGAACACCGCGACGUCAAAACCAUGUGAUUUCAGCUUGUAGGCUGCAGCAAGCCCGCUUGAGCAAUUGCAACACAAAAUCAAAGUCAAAUUCUCGGAAAAAAAAUCAACCAAAAAUAAACAGACAAAUCACAUCUGAGAAUUAAUCAUGCUUAGCAUAAUCUGCAUGCAAAUGUUGAACAAGAUUACCUUACACCACCACCAACAACAGCUACUCUUUUAACAGAGCCUGAAAAGUGAAAAUUCCACAAAAUAAAUAAAAAAUGCAAAGAAAUUCCUAAUAAUUUUGCAUUUAUAUAUAUACACACACAUACAGAUAUAUAUAUACACACACACAGGGAGAAAGGGAGAGGUUACUGACUCUGUUGAUCUUGUUUGGUUGGUGAGCUCAUUAUUUGCGGUGAUGCUCUCUGAGACUGAGGCUCCAGAUCUGAAAGAAGAAGAAGAGUUGUGCACUUAUCGUGGGAUUUAAACACACUUAGCCGAUCUCCAACUAAAGGAGUUAAACACAGUUACGUCCAGAAUUAUAGUGCUCUAAAAAUUUAUCACGCCACAAUCAUAUACUAAUCGUGAACCGAAAGGACUAAACAUGGUCCCUCAAUAAUUUAUUAGUUUAGAUUUAUUCUUUAGAUUUCUUUGUUAUAUUAAUUAAACUACUGCUAUCGAAAGGACUAAAACUACAAUUGUUCCCUCAAAUAGUGUUAGGAUUCUAAUGGGAUUACUAGUAAAUAAGAUGGUUGUGAUUGUGCCCGAUGGCAUCAUCUGAGCGAUUGAGCUGUAAUACUUGUAAUAAGGUUGCUAUAUAGCUUGGUUUUGUAAGUAACAGAACAGUUAUGAAAUAAUAUUGGAAUUCCUUUUGUUACUCUCUCUCUCUCUCUCUCUCUCUUCGAGUUCUCUCGUGGCUUCUCUGAGUUAAGGUCGAUCGAGGAUCUAUCAUUGGUAUCGAUCCAGUCUUGUCUCCUUCAUCCCUUCUCCGUUGUCGUAUGACUCGUACGUCGACGAAGAAAGCUAUGGAAUUGAAGAAUUAGCUUGAUGCGAUAAACAACACUCUUAACAUGUUACUCCAAAGGUUCGACGCCGUGGAAAGGCAUCAAGAUUCAUCAGAUGCUCGAAUCGAAAAACUUCAUCGCGAUUUUCUGGAAAAAUGUGUAAUGGGUUGUCCGGGAGAAUCAUCGGAAGCAGCUCAAGCGUGGCGAUUCAAGAACUCAACAUCUCAACCUCCAUGAAUUGGGAUUUCAACCAAGACCCCAUUUGGUUAAACUUGAUUUUCCUCGCUUCCAGGAAGGGGAUGAUCAUCUUGGGUGGAUUUACAAGGCAGAGCAUUACUUUGAUAUUCCGGCCGACGAGAAGGUUAUUAUGGCUUCCUUUCAUAUGGAAAAUGAAGCACUUCAAUGGUUUCAAUGGGUGAACUGCGUCAAAAACUACCCUAAAUAGGAAGACUUUACAAAGAUUUUUUGCAAGGUAUUCGGUUCUUCUGACCUUAUGGAUUGCACUGAAAAUUUGGUGAAACUUUGCCAAUCUGGAUUGCUAAGGGACUACAUCAUGGAAUUCCGACGGUUGGCAAAUCGCACUAUGGAAAUGACCCUUGGACUCUUGAAAAGCUGUUUCAUUGGAGGUUUGAAGCCAGAAAUUUGCCACAAUGUCAAAAUUCUGAGACCAUUCGAUGUUCAUGAAGCCAUUGCUUAUUCUCAACAAGUGGAUGCCAAAUUGGCUGAAUUAAAGGUUCGAUCUUUUCCAAGAAGCCUUCCCUCGGCAUCUCAAUUCAAGCCUACACAGUUAUUUGAUAUCACCAACACGCAAAAGACUGAGCCUUCUUCAAGAAAUGAAAGUUUUAGGCGCUUAACAGCAGCAGAAAUUGAAUUUCGAAGGAAGAACAUGUUGUGUUUUAAUUGUGAUGAAAUUUUUUCCAGAGAGCAUGUGUGUGCGGGUCCAAAACGUCAAGUACUACUCAUGGAUUUGUAUGAAAAUGGAGACCUUAUUGAGCAUCAUUCUGAUGACAAUGAAGAGCCUGAGGUAACUGCCUGUGCAGUUUAUGGAAUGCCUGCUCCAAAAUCCAUCAGAACAAUGAAAGCCAGUGGGUUAGUACUCAAUGGUCCUGCUAUUUUUCUAACAGAUUCAUGUAGCUCACAUAAUUUCAUUGACAUCUUACUCGUCAAACAACUAAAGGGUCAUUUAGAUACCACACACCCAUUAACUGGGAAGAUUGCAAAUGGGGGAUCCCUUAUUAGUCCUGGAUGUUUAGCUCAUGUUUCUAUUUGCCUACAAAAUUAUGCAACUGUGCCUGAUUUCUAUGCUCUUCCUUUGUGUGGAUGUGAUAUUGUUUUGGGCGUACAAUGGUUAAGAACAUUGGGACCAAUACUAUGGGACUUUGACAAGAUGAUUAUGCAGUUUGUAGUUGGCAACACCACUUUUUCCAUAUCAAGUCCUCAGUCUCAAGAACCUCAAUCCAUUUCUUCCUUACAAAUGGAUUAGUUGCUCAACCAUGAACAUUGCUUAGGGGCUGCUUUAUUUGUUUUGCAAGUUAGUGCAGACAACACACCUCCAUCUACUCAUUCUCAGUUGGAUUCUUAUCAAGAUAAUGAGGCAACAACAAUUUUAUUUAUUUAUUUUUAAGGAAAAUCCGCAAAAACCAAAAAAAAAGUAUAAUAAUUAAUGUGAAAAUGAUAGAUUUUGAAAGCACGAAGGGAAAACAAAGUGCCAAGACAUUCAGGCAGGAGGGGGACCAGAUUGGAAGCCAUCGAUGAACGGACGAAAGUGGCCACUAUGCUCCCAUACCCAACAUAACCAUACUAAUCAACCCAAAUUUCAUGUUUUUUCUACCAUACACCGGAGCAUUAGAUGCACCGGGAUCUUUAAUCGUUGGAUUAUUAGUUGUUGGAUCUUUGACUGCACAUUCAACAGUUGAUGGCAGUUAGUCACAUGAGCAUAUUAUGACGUGGUUCAUUCUAAAUUUUUUGUAAAUUUCAUGCAUCAAUUGAAUUGUAAGCUCAUCUGCCCAGCUCCACUGCCUUAUUUUUCAAUUGAUGAAACGCUACUGUUUCAAAUACAUAUGCAACGCUACAUGAAAAAACUUAAAAUACGUGAAGUUAUGUUAUUGGUUCGACAUGUCAUGGUUACAUCCUAAAGAAAGUUGAUAGAGGACUAUCUUAGCUCUACACUAGGUGAAGUUCUUGCAUAGGAUGCUCGCAUGGGACCCAUGUGUGGGGGCCCACCUUACACGUGGAAGUGCUGCAAACAUACAUUUGUUUGCUAGAAUUUAUUCUCAUUAGAAUAAUUUACAUGACAUGGGUACACAAUUAUGUGGCAUCCCGUGCUAAUGAAAUACAAACAUGUAAACAAAAAUGUUACACGUCUUUAUUUCUCGGUGCGGGACAUGACCAUGGCAUUGUACCCGUACCAUGUAAGUCCUCGUACCUAUAUUAUAUGCCUAACAUUAAAAGAAAGCCGAGUCUUGGUAGUCGCAUAGACAGAUGAAGUUGAAAACGAAAUCCACGAAAGCAUGCAUUUUACAUCAGAAAGCUCAAAUGUAGUAUGUUGGACAUUUACAACUAAAACUCUGCCAGCAUAAUUCAUAAACCAGUAUUGGAUCCUACAUCCAAGAGCAAAGGAUGCACCUUCUGUUUCUAAAACAAUCAUCAUUCCUGACGCGUCUUCUCAUCCGGCGGAGAUUCCAGAUAGGCGAUUACAAGUUCAGCUGCUUUGCAUCCAGAAGCUAUUGCUUUGCCAACUGAGAGUCCGCCCCGAUGGUUACCUGCAAUAUUCAUAAUUUGUACACCAACAUAUACCAAAGGAAAAUAAUUAACCACCAUAAGGACACCAUCAUUCAUCAAGAUCUAGAGUUACUGCGUCCACAACACCCAGUUGGUGAGUAAUUUACCUGCAUAGAAGAACCCGGGGAGAUUUUUCUCCAUCUUCUCAAUUGCUUCGAUAACUGAAUCAUAGUUACGCCCGUACAAUGGAAAUGCUUUGCUCCAGUGGUAAUGGCUGCCAUUAAGUGUACUUCAAGCUAUAAGAUGACUAUUCAAAUCAACGGUAAAUACGUAGGCUCUAAAUAUAUUCGUUUCCAUUAUUUGCUUUGUUUAAACCACUAGAUGCGAAAAGAGAGAGAAUUACAUACUUCACGGAUGUAGGCUCGCCUUCUGCUCCUAGCAAGUGCCUAAUGUCAGAGGUAACAAUCUUCUUCAAUUCAUCCCUAGAGAAAUAGUUAGAAGUAGAAGAGUAUUAGCUGUGCAAAGUUAUAUCGUCCUUCCAUGAGUAUGAAUGUGUGCAUAAAUAAUAAGGAAAACUAACGAAAAAUCCAAAAAAACUUCACUUUUAACGAAAAGCCCUUUUUAAAGGUAUAGUGAAUAGUGCCAGUUAAAGGUAAAAAUAUGGUUUUUCGUUAAAAGUGAACAGUACCAGAAGUGUUUUGUUAAAACUCCCAUAAUAAUAUAGAACCAAUCGCACAAUAUCAAAGGACAGAGAACAUGGCUGUUUUGAAAAAUUAUUAAGAUUUCACAUACGUUGAAGCUUUUGCUAGUUCCUUGUUUCGACUUCCCCCAACAAAGGUAGUAUAAAGAUGCAGGUCACUAGGUGCACGAUCUGGAAACAUCAUGGAUGAAAAGAGAGUGCCUGUGCAGCAGUAGUAAGCAUAUUAGGAGAAUGUGUUAGUAACUCAAUGUCACCGGGCCAUGCCAAGCAUUACCAAGAGUUUUUAAGCCAUUUUUCUGCUCUUUAGAGGGCACAAGAACUCCAAAUCCCUCAAGGGGUCUCUUAACAUCUUCCUUCUUGAAGGUCGUUAUUAUCACUGAUAGUGGUAUAUAAGUAACCUGCAAUAGACAGCAAAAAAUAAGAUGAUGCUAGUACUUCAGCAACUUCUUUUUCGGGUAGAGAACCAAAAUGUCACAAAUACCUCAGGAAAAAAAUCAAGAGGGAAGAGAGUUCCUCUUUUCGUGAUAUUCAUUUCUUUGACGUUACACAGUGGAGCCUAUGGCAGAGAAGAACUUUGUCAGUUAAUAUUAGUAUUCCUUCCAAUAUAGUAAACAUUAUAUGAAGUACGGGAGGGCAGGUGUGUGUAUGCAUAGACUAGACAGAAAGAGCAGUUACAGUUCAACUCGAAUAAAUGGUAAAGCUAAAGUUCACUUGCAUGUCAAAAUGUAGAACACGGUGAACCAUGCGAAAUAUAUUUCUUCUAUUGGUACCACUUGGUCAUGGCACCUAACAAUUGCAAGCAUCUAACAAUUGCAAUGAAGCAGUUGAAGCAUAUAUGUUUCUUUUAAUCUACUAGUUCUAUCUUGAUCUUCCCAAAACAUAACAUUUUCGGACAGUAACCAUGUCAGAUGCAGAGAAGGCACACUUUGUGCAGCAAAACGACAUGGUAACCACCAGGUGCCCCAAUAAGAAAGUAAAUAAACCACCAAAGCCAUGUUUUUAGAGUACUAAAAUAUACUAACCGUCAUGACUACAGCGUCGACAGAUAAACUUUGUGAAUGCUUGUCAUCCUUAGCAGCAGAGGAAACAGACCAAUUUUCAAACGCAGACUUCCCAUCAUGACUAUAAGAUAAUGACAAAACCUUUGAGUUCAGUUUAACCUCAUCUUUGCCAAGCUCAUUGCAUAAGGUAUCGGUGAGUGUCUGCACAGAAAACAGAACACAAGGGUAAAACAUUUAGUUUUGAAAAUAGACUCUGCCUCUAAGAUCUGAACCAAAUGUUAUUGCAACUGAAGUUGUAAAUUUAAUAGGGAAAACAUAACAGAAUACGAGGAACAUUCUACAUAAGGUAUCAAAAAGAAAACAUGAACUACAAAAGUAGUCAUGAGUCAUGAACCAUGAAUAAGAAAAGCAACCAAUAAAUUGAAACCUGCAUUCCACCAUGAAAGGAAAAUGAACCCCGCUGACGCUUCCCUUUUUCUACAGAACCCUUUGUUUGUCCACUUUUUUCCUUUUUGGCAGAUAAUUUUGAUUUAAUUGCCCCAGAUAUAACGGAACCAAACCUGACAUAAUAGCAUAGUGUUACUUAACAUCAAACGUAGAUCAUGCAACAAGCAUCAACUACACAAGAAAAGAAGUCAAACAGGCUAAACAAAUUAUGUCUUAUUUGAAGGAUGAGAAAACUUGACACAGAAGUUUCCUAUUUAACCUUCAACUUUCAAAAACGCCAAUCCUUUUUUUAGCUAGUGACAUAGGCUUGUGACUAAACAGGGCAUUAAAGUGAUUCGUUGAUUGAAGCCUAACCAGGUUGAAUGUGGAGCUUUUUCUGUUCACUUCGGAAAAGUCAUAGAAAGCAUGACUCUAAACCCUUGGGUUAGUGUGGAUUUCUAUCCACAAUGAGUAGAUAACGAAAACACUGGCCUAUUUUCCAAAUGAACAUAAACUUAUGAAAGAAAAAGGUGUCAACUAAUCUAAUUAACAGAAUCACAAUGCCUAUUCUAGUCCUAAGCAAUAAUUUGGAAAAUUUCCCACAACCUACACUAAAAGUAGGAUAGGCAAGGAAAAUAAUAAGCAAAAAUGAUCUUUGUUAACAAAUGAAAAAAGAAAACUUAGAUACCUUUUUUCCAUGUUCCAUAAAUCCGGAAAAGAAUGGCGCAUCUUCAAACAGAAUCACAUGGCAACACAAAAGAAUUAUUGAAAACAUAAGAAGAUUCAUGAGAUAAAUGCAUGGAAAAGGCAUAAAUACAGAUUUUGGGUUACAAUUGACUAGUUAAGAAACAAUCCCAUUAGCCACUCAGUGUGAAAUAUGCACAAAGAUUGAGACAUUACUCACAGAAAGUGAUUCGGGAUCUCCACCACUUGUGCCGGCAACAAAGGGGUCAAUGAGAUAAUCAACAACCU